CCUACGGGCGGCAGCAGUAGGGAAUAUUGCUCAAUGGGGGAAACCCUGAUGCAGCGACGCCGCGUGAGGGAUGAAGGAUUUCGGAUUGUAAAGCCCUUUUGUUAGGGAAGAAAAUGACGGUACCUGACUAAGAAGCUCCGGCUAAAUCCGUGCCAGCAGCCGCGGUAAUACGGAUGGAGCAAGCGUUACUCGGAUUUACUGGGGGUAAAGGGCGCGUAGGCGGUAAGGCAAGUCUGAUGUGAAAUGCUAGGGCUCAACCAUGGGACUGCAUUUGAAACUGUUUAUCUAGAGUGUGGGAGAGGCAAGUGGAAUUCGUAGUGUAGCGGUGAAAUGCGUAGAGAUUAAGAGGAACACU
rnacentral:rRNA from 1 species